CACAAAUUUAAAGUGAGCCAAUUUGCCAUUGAUUGUGUGGUUUUUCUAUAGUUAUUUUCAGCUGCAGAGGUAAAGGCAGGGCAAAUGAAAAGAGUUUUAUUUAAGCAAUCUUGUGAUUGUUGACAAGUAGAAAUGGUGGAACAAGAGAAGUCAGAGUUAAGGAUUUUUCCAAGGGAAGGAUUUCAAUGAUUCCUGUGAAGAUAUAAAUUAGACUAAAAAGCAUGAUGGGGAGUGUGGAAAGUAAAACGGAGUAGGAUCAGUGAGUUAAAGAUAUCAGUGUUUUUGCAAGCAUUAUAUAUUAGGAAAGAACUGAUGGGCAGAAAUUGGGAAUGCUUAUAAUUAAAACCAUUAAAAGAGUAAUACAGCUACUGAUAAAGACAGGUCCUCAGUUAUAUCCAUGAAAGUAAGUGGCUGAGAUGGAAUGAAGGAAGACAUCAUAUAGAUGGGAAGAGUUUAUGGAACUUGACAGCCCAGAUAACAGAAAGCAUACUCUGUAGGGAUGUUAAAAUUACUCAGAAAUGUAAUAAGAUUGGUUGUUUGAUAAAGGGAAGGAAUAAAUGUAAUACUAAAGAUCCAGGGAACAAGGUCUAGGGCAUUCCAGCUUUAAAGAGGAGCGGAAAUUAGCAAAGAUGGAGAGUGGCCAACAGAAGCCAACAGAGUAUAGCCUAUCAUAAGGAGAUGAAGAAAUUAGUUUAGAUAAAAGGAGUAAUCAACUAUGGCAAAUGCACAAAAACAGUAAGUCAACAGUGAAAAUAUUCAAAGAAUGGGUUAUGGUGACCAAGAAGUUUUUUCCAAGGUUAGAGAAAAGAGAGCUGAGAGCUUUCAUGUGAAAGGAGUUUUAUGUGUGAUUAGGGAUAGGGUAAUGAAUGGGGUAUUUGUGAGAAAUUAAAGAUGAGAAAAAAAGAAGAUACAGGACAAGUGCUGUGUGAUGGAAGGGUCAAGAGAAGACUGCCAGCCAUGGGUGGCAACAGGUUUUUGAAAGAACAUAACUAACUGUCUGAGUGGUAUUGUUGCUGUGUGGCUUGCUGUCCACUGAUUUCUAUGGCCCUGUCUAUUAUGCCCAGCCCUGGAAUAAAAUCUAUCUGAUUCAAAAACACUUUAAUAAUACUUUUCCACAAUUCUUUAAUACACAUAUAAAAUUUUAAUAUUAUUGUGUGUAAUCUUAUCAAAUGACUCUUCCACAUUUUGGUUGCCAUAGGAGUGGUUAAAGACUAACAGAAAGAAGGAAGGACUCAGGAGGCAAAGGAGGUCAGAGAAUGUAAGCCCCCUAUAAAUUCAAUGAAUUUCAGGAGGGCUUUGAAAAUCUCCAGGUUGGAAACAUAAUGGGUUGUGAGUCUGGGAAAUUUUAGCCAAAUUUCUUUGCAUAUCAAGGAGCC
rnacentral:lncRNA from 1 species